rnacentral:rRNA from 1 species
AACACUUAGAAAUAGGUGCUAAGACCGCAUAAGCGCCCAGGUCCGCAUGGCCCAGGGUGAAAAACUCCGGCGGUAUAAGAUGGGCUCGCGUCUGAUUAGCCAGUUGGCAGGGUAACGGCCUACCAAAGCGACGAUCAGUAGCCGGCCUGAGAGGGUGGACGGCCACAUUGGGACUGAGACACGGCCCAAACUCCUACGGGAGGCAGCAGUGGGGGAUAUUGCACAAUGGGGGAAACCCUGAUGCAGCGACGCCGCGUGAGUGAAGAAGUACUUCGGUAUGUAAAGCUCUAUCAGCAGGGAAGAAAGAGACGGUACCUGAGUAAGAAGCCCCGGCUAACUACGUGCCAGCAGCCGCGGUAAUAUGUAGGGGGCAAGCGUUAUCCGGAUUUACUGGGUGUAAAGGGAGCGUAGACGGCAAGGCAAGCCUGGAGUGAAAGGCGGGGGCCCAACCCCCGGACUGCUCUGGGAACUGUCUGGCUAGAGUGCAGGAGGGGUAAGUGGAAUUCCUAGUGUAGCGGUGAAAUGCGUAGAUAUUAGGAGGAACACCAGUGGCGAAGGCGGCUUACUGGACUGUAACUGACGUUGAGGCUCGAAAGCGUGGGGAGCAAACAGGAUUAGAUACCCUGGUAGUCCACGCCGUAAAC